GGAUUAGAUACCCUGGUAGUCCACGCUGUAAACGAUGAUUACUCGCUAUUGGCGAUACACUGUCAGUGGCUAAGCGAAAGUGAUAAGUAAUCCACCUGGGGAGUACGAUCGCAAGGUUGAAACUCAAAGGAAUUGACGGGGGCCCGCACAAGCGGUGGAGCAUGUGGUUUAAUUCGAUGAUACGCGAGGAACCUUACCAGGGCUUAAAUGCAUAAUGACAGAUUGGGAAACCAAUCCUUCUUCGGACAAUAUGCAAGGUGCUGCAUGGUUGUCGUCAGCUCGUGCCG
rnacentral:rRNA from 1 species